rnacentral:tmRNA from 1 species
GGGGAUGAAAGGAUUUCGACAGGGUUAUUGAACCUCGGUCAGCGGGUAGCGGAGUUGCACCGCUUUAAAAGUAACACUUUAAAAUUAACUGACACUAAUAAGACAGUUUUAAAGGCUGCCUAAGCGCGCCUUUCGUUCUCUUUAAGCUUGCCGCAGCUUAAAUGAGGGCGUCGAUUCAGCGGCGAACAUGAACAGGUGAACGCUUCGGCACCUGUCAGGUAUAAGAAGCUACCGUAACCGCAAGGCUGUUUGUUUCCGAGCGGCGAGGGGAAUCGCCAAUAACAAACUACACCCGUAGAGCCCUUGGCAAAAUUUCUUUGGACGCGAGUUCGAUUCUCGCCAUCUCCACCA